rnacentral:rRNA from 1 species
UCAGAAUCCUUACACAUGCAAGUCGAACCGUAACAGGCCUACGGAUGCUGACGAGUGGCGAACGGGGGAGUAAUACAUCGGAACGUGCCCGAUCGUGGGGGAUAACGAGGCGAAAGCUUUGCUAAUACCGCAUACGAUCUACUGAUGAAAGCGGGGGAUCUUCGGACCUCGCGCGGACGGAGCGGCCGAUGGCAGAUUAGGUAGUUGGUGGGAUAAAAGCUUACCAAGCCGACGAUCUGUAGCUGGUCUGAGAGGAUGAUCAGCCACACUGGGACUGAGACACGGCCCAGACUCCUACGGGAGGCAGCAGUGGGGAAUUUUGGACAAUGGGCGAAAGCCUGAUCCAGCCAUGCCGCGUGCAGGAUGAAGGCCUUCGGGUUGUAAACUGCUUUUGUACGGAACGAAAAGCCUCUUUCUAAUAAAGAGGGGUCAUGACGGUACCGUAAGAAUAAGCACCGGCUAACUACGUGCCAGCAGCCGCGGUAAUACGUAGGGUGCAAGCGUUAAUCGGAAUUACUGGGCGUAAAGCGUGCGCACGC